rnacentral:rRNA from 1 species
UACGUAGGGGGCUAGCGUUGUCCGGAUUUAUUGGGCGUAAAGAGCGUGUAGGCGGCCAGGUAGGUCUGCUGUGAAAACUCGAGGCUCAACCUCGAGACGCCGAUGGAAACCAUCUGACUAGAGUCCGGAAGAGGAGAGUGGAAUUCCUGGUGUAGCGGUGAAAUGCGCAGAUAUCAGGAAGAACACCCGUGGCUAAGGCGGCUCUCUAGUACGUGACUGACGCUGAGACGCGAAAGCGUGGGGAGCGAACAGG